rnacentral:rRNA from 1 species
UACGUAGGGUGCAAGCGUUGUCCGGAAUUAUUGGGCGUAAAGAGCUCGUAGGCGGUUUGUCGCGUCUGCUGUGAAAACUCAGGGCUUAACCCUGAGCUUGCAGUGGGGUACGGGCAGACGUAGAGUGCGGUAGGGGAGACUGGAAUUCCGUGGUGUAGCGGUGAAAUGCGCAGAUAGUCAGGAGGAACACCGGUGGCGAAGGCGGGUCUCUGGGCCGUAACUGACG